rnacentral:ncRNA from 4 species
UACGAAGGGUGCAAGCGUUACUCGGAAUUACUGGGCGUAAAGCGUGCGUAGGUGGUGGUUUAAGUCUGCUGUGAAAGCCCUGGGCUCAACCUGGGAAUUGCAGUGGAUACUGGAUCACUAGAGUGUGGUAGAGGGAUGCGGAAUUUCUGGUGUAGCAGUGAAAUGCGUAGAGAUCAGAAGGAACAUCCGUGGCGAAGGCGGCAUCCUGGGCCAACACUGACACUGAGGCACGAAAGCGUGGGGAGCAAACAGG